CCUACGGGAGGCUGCAGUGAGGAAUAUUGGUCAAUGGGCGGGAGCCUGAACCAGCCAAGUCGCGUGAGGGACGACGGUCCUAUGGAUUGUAAACCUCUUUUGUCGGGGAACAAAGGCGCCCACGGGUGGGCGGAUGAGUGUACCCGAAGAAAAAGCAUCGGCGAACUCCGUGCCAGCAGCCGCGGUAAUACGGAGGAUGCGAGCGUUAUCCGGCUUUAUUGGGUUUAAAGGGUGCGUAGGCGGAAGGUCAAGUCAGCGGUAAAAAUGCGGUGCUCAACGCCGGCCUGCCGUCGGAACUGGGUGCUUUGAGUGGGCGAGAAGUAUGCGGAAUGCGUGGUGUAGCGGUGAAAGGCAUAGAUAUCACGCAGAACCCCGAUGGCGAAGGCAGCAUACCGGCGCCCUACUGACGCUGAGGCACGAAAGUGCGGGUAUCGAACAGGAUUAGAUACCCGGGUAGUC
rnacentral:rRNA from 1 species